GCAGUAGUGGUUCAGUGGUAGAAUUCUUGCCUACCAUGCAGGAGACCAGGGUUCGAUUCCUGGCCAAUGCA
rnacentral:tRNA from 1 species